UACGAAGGGGGCUAGCGUUGUUCGGAUUUACUGGGCGUAAAGCGCACGUAGGCGGAUCGUUAAGUCGGGGGUGAAAUCCUGGAGCUCAACUCCAGAACUGCCUUCGAUACUGGCGAUCUUGAGUCCGGAAGAGGUGAGUGGAACUCCUAGUGUAGAGGUGGAAUUCGUAGAUAUUAGGAAGAACACCAGUGGCGAAGGCGGCUCACUGGUCCGGUACUGACGCUGAGGUGCGAAAGCGUGGGAAGCAAACAGG
rnacentral:rRNA from 1 species